rnacentral:rRNA from 1 species
UACGUAAGGUGCGAGCGUUAAUCGGAAUUACUGGGCGUAAAGCGUGUGCAGGCUGUCUUUACAAGACAGGCGUAAAAUCCCUGGGCUCAACCUAGGGCUGCGCUUGUGACUGUAAGACUAGAGUGUGUCAGAGGGGGGUAGAAUUCCACGUGUAGCAGUGAAAUGCGUAGAGCUGUGGAGGAAUAUCGAUGGCGAAGGCAACCCCCUGGGAUAACACUGACGCUCAUACACGAAAGCGUGGGGAGCAAACAGG